GGCUUGCGAGGUUGCACAGAAUCCUAGGGCCUCUAUAAUGGAUCGAAUUCUGCUAUAGAGGGCAUCCCGUUGAUCGACCCGUUUAGAUUUUCAGGAUCAAUUGAACCUGUGAUUGAACCAUCUCAUAUUUUUUACUAUGCUUUUUAUUAUUCGUCGUUUCCUGCAAGUGUUCCCCCCUUUCGCCAGAUGUUUGCGGGAUAGUAGGCUACAUAUGAGGAUUAUUUUGGACCAUCUCACUAAUGCUGACAAUUCAAGACUAAUGCAUAAAGACCGUUUACAAUUUUUUGCCG